ensembl:lncRNA
CAGAUUCUGACUGAGACAUUGCAGUCUUGAGAAGAUCAAGAUAUUUUGUGUGACCAGUUCGCUGGAUGCAGCACCCGUGUGGAAUCUGAUGGUCUGUGAUUGGCAAGCCAGGUGGCAGCUCUUCACCCUGCAGCUCUGGCAGGGCUGCUCACAGCAGGCCAAGGAAUUCCUGGCAGUUCUUCUCAGUGGAGAGGCUUUCACCACACACAAGUACUGUGAAAUCCACCCACGUGUUUGGGAGGGUGACAGCACAGAACCACAGAACAUCACUCGAGUGCCCGUGACAGCAACUGGAGCAACAGCAACGGAAGCUCUGGAGGAAGGGGAUGAGAAACUCCCUCCCACCACCUGACUCCUGUGGGAUGCUGCUUGGAUACAGGUUGAGGCAGCCACUGAAGUCAUCGCUGUCUGUGGGCUGCUGAGUUUCUAACUUGAUGUUUUAUGGGGAUCUGUCUAUCAAAAUAUUUGGGAUCUGCUGAUCUGUGGUUUCUGUGCUGGUUUCAGAAGGAUGUGUUGGCCUCACACAAGCCACAGUAAGGCACCAUCAUGCUCAAAUGCUGACUGAAUUAGAUGCUUUUUGAGCCUGGUUGUCAGGGGAAAGCCAUACGUGUGCAACAAGCUGUUGGAAAUAGUUUUGAAGGGGUGUUCCAAGUCUCCAGUGCUCCUACUCUGACUGGGCAACGUAGUGCUUGCCUAAGUAUUGUUUCAGAGGAACAGUCACAAUGGGAAUGUGCAGAUAUGUGAACAAUUGUUGGAUUUGAGACUUGCAAUCAAGGACCCAAAAUUCAUUUUAAAGGAAAAUAAAAUUUUCAAAGGAAUUUUUUCAAAGGAAAUGUUUCAUUGUCUUACCAAAAUUGCACUCCAUUUUGGUGCCUUCCACUAAAUGAGAGGAAGGGCAGGCUCCUGGUUGAGAUGAUGGGACAAGUAGCCCAGGGUCAGUUGCUGGUCCUAGCCCAGAUUUCCAGAACCUAAGUUACUCAAUCCUCCUUUUUAUUACAGUUCACUAUCAGGAGAUAAGGAUAAUAUUACUUUUCUCCACACUUCAUCUAUUUUAUCUAUUAAAUAAUGGGGAGAGACAUAGAGAAGAUUUAAUAUAAAGAUGCCCAAUGUCUUGCACAGUGGAGUACCUCAUCUUGAUUAAGGACUUACACAUUAUUGACGUUUAUAAUCAUUUCAUCAGUCCCAACAUAUUCCUUUCCACAAAGGAAGACUAUCACAGAAAACUGCAGUUAUGGAGCACAGGUAACUGGGUAUUACAUGUGUGUCUGUCUGGUUUAAAGAGCCAUAUUUAUCUGUCUAGGUGUGGGCAAUGUGUUAGAGGCUGAGUGGUUCAGCAGGCAACCAAGUCUUGUGAUGGAGAAUUUAUUGUGGCUGAAAGGCUGAAGACUGACUCCUCAUUUUCACAUGAUGGUUCCCAAAAGUAGCAAUUAUUCACUGUUCAUCUACACCAUGAAAGACUAACAUAUAUAGUAAAAACUAAUACAGGUAUUUUAACUGUUUUGGCACAGAUUACCAUAAGUCUAUUUUGAUUCAUAACUGUCAUAUCCAUUCUGUGUUCUGUAAGCAAGAUAAAAGUGUAAGGCUAUACUGUUUCCAAAUUGUGAUGAGUCAAUAGUAGACUAUUUAAAGCUUCCUAUUCAGGUGAGUGGAGAUCCCCAUGUCUCCUUUCAAAUUUAUUAUCUUCCUUCCUGCCUUUAAUUGUC